CCAAGAACUGUAAACAAACAAAAUCGAUUUAUAAAUUAAAAAAAAACCGAAACUGUGGUAAAGAGUUUAUCAACUAAAAUUCUAUGAUGAUUGACCCCCCUUCUCUCAAAAAUAGAACAAACAGAGAAUUGGAAAGUGAACAACAAAAGAAAAUUGAAAAUUUGCAAAAAUUUAACAGUUUCCUAUGCUAAAAAGAUGAGCAGACGCCCAUGAAAUAUGUUUUUUUUUGUCACUGGUGAUCUCCCCAAUUGACCGAUGUCUGCCCUCUUGAAGGCCGUUCAGAGUGUGAACGCGGAAUGAGCUCAGCUAUGUGAUGUUAUUCAUAAUUGAAUAUCGUUUUAAGAUUCGGUUGCAGCAACAAAAAGCAAAACCAAUAACAAAUCAAAGUGACAUAAAGCCAAAUAACAUUAUACUAAUAAACAAAAAUCAUACUGAUCAGAAAUAGAUAUAAGCAACAAUUAAACUGAUCAAAGUCCAGGCCAAAUGCAUUAAGGAAGGGAUUAUAAUUUUGAUGUCAUUAAAUAGAAGACUUUUCUUUAGGAUUAUUAUGAUAACGACACGUUCAAAUAUAUAUAUAUAUAUAUAGAAAUUCCUUUGAUUCUAUAUAAAUUGGAAUAACUUGCUGUUGGUAAUAAUGGCAAAUGACAUGAUCUACCUCGCCAUAAAUGUAAAUAUGGCAGGAAGCGACCCUUGAAAUCUUUCAACUGAUCGAAAGUCUGCCGGACAGGCAUCACGGCACGUCGGAAGCGUUUUAUCUAUAUGGGUCUAUCUCUGGUUGGAACAUACCAAUAUGGCCAACUGUACUUGGUUUUGGUCAUGACUGCCGUGCAGAAAAUCAAUAUAUAUAAAUACAUAUAUUCCUCUAUAUGUAUGCGUGUGUAUAUGUACAUCUAAUACCACUUAAUGGAGCCAAACAGUUAAUUGCGAUGGUAAUCAUUAUAGCCAAACCCCGUUCUCAUCCCACCAAUCAAUUGGGCAUACAAUUAUUAUUGAUUUUCUUGCAAAAUAAUAAUAACAGCUGAACACGGUUCGGAACCUGGGCCGCGAAAAGUUAA